rnacentral:tRNA from 1 species
GGAGAAGUACUCAAGAGGCCGAAGAGGCGCCCCUGCUAAGGGCGUAGGAGUGUAAAAAGCUCGCGAGGGUUCAAAUCCCUCCUUCUCCGCCA